AUCAAUGCUAGCACCUGCACUAAAUUCAGUCAAUGUAAAACAAUGUUAAAUUAUCUCAGAGCACCCUUAAAAAAUGCUAUUAAAAUAGAAAGAGAGAGAGAUUAUCAAGUUAAAAAUAGAUAUUAAAUGAGAGAACCAUAUGAUUUCAUCUUUGCCAAACAACUUCAAAAUCUUUCGGUUAGCUUAGCUCUUUAAGUUCUCUGCCAGAUGACAAUAUUGUAAUUAUAGUUGGGUAUUAGUAAGGUUCUGAUAACCAUUCAGUCAUUUACAGCAAUGUAUGUUAAUAAGUUAAUUGUUAACAGAUCUAUUAGUUUAAGAGUAUAGGUGGGUUUUCCGGUAUUUAUUAAGAAUAGUCCUAAAAUAGGAGGGAGUUUUAUAUGCAUAAAAAAACAUGGGAAAGUAAAAUGAAAUUCAAGCUGUU